CAGGUGACCAACGGAAGCCAAUCCAUAAGUUAUAGUAAUCAGUGCACAGGUAAAUAAAUCUAAAGAUACCCAAGACGCCAAUUAUUCUUUUAGAUUCUUCUGGCAUUUUAUUUUUCAAUAUAAUGUUGUUCACCUCAUGGUUUUAGAUGUGAAUGAAUGCCUUGAGACCCCAUCGGUCUGUGGUUCAAACUCAGUCUGCAACAACACCAUUGGAGACUACAACUGUACAUGCUGGAGUGGAUAUAAUGUCACUGAUCCAAGUUUGAAGAGUAGUGCUAACAAUACUUGUACAGAUAUAAACGAAUGUGUUGAGAUACCAAACGUGUGUGGAUUCAACUCCAACUGCACCAAUUACAACGGAAGCUACAACUGUUCCUGCCUGAGUGGAUAUCAAGUGACCAGAGCAAACCAACCCAUAAGUCUUAGCAAUCAGUGCACAGGUAAAUGAAAACAUAAAUGCUUUAGGUGUCUAUCUUUCAAAAUGUUACCGGACCUUUUUUCUCAGUACAACAUUGUUGAACUCAUGGUUUUAGAUGUGAAUGAAUGCCUUGAGACCCCAUCGGUCUGUGGUCCAAACUCAGUCUGCAACAACACCAUUGGAGACUACAACUGUACAUGCUGGAGUGGAUAUAAUGUCACUGAUCCAAGUUUGAAGAGUAGUGCUAACAAUACUUGUACAGGUAAGGUUGAUUUUACAAAGCAUUGAAAGCACCUUGGCACAUCGGAAACACAUUUUUCUGCUUGAGUAAGCAUUUUUUUUCACGGUACCCUUUUUCAGAUAUAAACGAAUGUGUUGAGAUACCAAACGUGUGUGGAUUCAACUCCAACUGCACCAAUUACAACGGAAGCUACAACUGUUCCUGCCUGAGUGGAUAUCAAGUGACCAGAGCAAACCAACCCAUAAGUCUUAGCAAUCAGUGCACAGGUAAAUGAAAAUCAUAAAUGCUUUAGGUGUCUAUCUUUCAAAAUUUACCGGACCUUUUUUCUCAGUACAACAUUGUUGAACUCAUGGUUUUAGAUGUGAAUGAAUGCCUUGAGACCCCAUCGGUCUGUGGUCCAAACUCAGUCUGCAACAACACCAUUGGAGACUACAACUGUACAUGCUGGAGUGGAUAUAAUGUCACUGAUCCAAGUUUGAAGAGUAGUGCUUACAAUACUUGUACAGGUAAGGUUGAUUUUACAAAGCAUUGAAAGCACCUUGGAACAUCGGAACAAUUUUCUGCUUGAGUAAGCAUUUUCUUUUCACGGUACCCUUUUUCAGAUAUAAACGAAUGUGUUGAGAUAUCAAACGUGUGUGGAUUCAACUCCAACUGCACCAAUUACAAUGGAAGCUACAACUGUUCCUGCCUGAGUGGAUAUCAAGUGACCAGAGCAAACCAAUCCAUAAGUCUUAGCAAUCAGUGCACAGGUAAAUGAAAACAUAAUGCUUUAGGUGUCUAUCUUUCAAA
rnacentral:lncRNA from 1 species